CUUCUGCUUUGCUCGGGAAAGCAAUCUCUGUCUGCAGCGCUGAAGUAAGUCAAGGCGAGACUGAGAAUUCAUCUGCUUGGUGUCACGGAGAAACGUUAUCCCUCAGGAACAUCCCUGUGAGACUCUGCAUCCCGAGGGGCUCAGCUCAUUCAGAUGUAUGAAAGCACAACUUUAACACAGACCAUACAGAGACACUGCUGUGUACCGUUGGCUCAUUGGGACUUCACUGUUGGACAAAGUGAUAGCUCAUCUCCUCAACACCUUCUAGCAAAUUCCCUUAGAGAUGGUAGCUGGCACCAGGACACAGCGAGUGUCUUCCUUGGAGACUAUGACAACAAGGAAGUGCUGAGCCAAAGAACCAUGUGUGGCUAAAGAGGCAGCCCACAGAAGCGCAGUGGGAGGGCACACCUCCUUUGGAAAUGCUCCUGGGGAAGGUCUGGAGUUCAGAGGGAAGAAGAAGGUAGGAGAGUUCUCCCCCUUGCCUGUUCUGAUAUUCUUCUGAGGACUAAGUAGCUAGCUCUCUUAUAAA